AUUGAACGCUGGCGGCAGGCCUAACACAUGCAAGUCGAGCGGUAACACAGGGAGCUUGCUCCUGGGUGACGAGCGGCGGACGGGUGAGUAAUGUCUGGGAAACUGCCUGAUGGAGGGGGAUAACUACUGGAAACGGUAGCUAAUACCGCAUAACGUCGCAAGACCAAAGAGGGGGACCUUCGGGCCCCUUGCCAUCAGAUGUGCCCAGAUGGGAUUAGCUAGUAGGUGGGGUAACGGCUCACCUAGGCGACGAUCCCUAGCUGGUCUGAGAGGAUGACCAGCCACACUGGAACUGAGACACGGGCCAGACUCCUACGGGAGGCAGCAGUGGGGAAUAUUGCACAAUGGGCGCAAGCCUGAUGCAGCCAUGCCGCGUGUACGAAGAAGGCCUUCGGGUUGUAAAGUACUUUCAGCGGGGAGGAAGGCGAUAAGGUUAAUAACCUUGUCGAUUGACGUUACCCGCAGAAGAAGCACCGGCUAACUCCGUGCCAGCCGCCGCCGUAA
rnacentral:rRNA from 1 species